GAUUAUGUGUGCUAAAGAGGAGUAGGGUAAUAGAAAUAUUCCAAUUCAAUUUCGUCACCAGAUUUCAUUAUAGUUAUUUUUAAAAUCAGAAUUUUCUCACCACUGAUUUUCCCUUUUUUUCCUUUUUUUGAGGAAGAUCAGCCCUGAGCGAACAUCUGCUGCCAAUCUGCCUCUUUUUGCUGAGGAAGACUGGCCCUGAGCUAACAUCAGUGCCCAUCUUCUUCUACUUUAUAUGUGGGACGCCUGCCACAGCAUGGCUUGACAAGCAGUGCAUUGGUCCCCACCUGGGAUUCAAACUGGUGAACCCCCGGCCUCAGAAGCGGAACAUACUUUCGUCACUUUAUACUGGACUAUUACAUUACUCUUCAAGUCUCUAAUCAUCUUCUACACUGCCACUUUGAUCCUGCUUCUCCCUCCCCUCAGAGCUUCCUGUGGCUCCCUCUUACCUCUCAGAUCAAGUUCACACUCUGUAGUCUGUCAGGUAAGGCCUCCCACAGAAGGCUCCAGCCUGCCUUUAUUUACUCUGAAGUGAUUGUGAUAUCUCCUUUGCCUGAAGUGCCCUUCUUCCAUUUUUCUGUGAAUCCAGUUUCAACUGUCUGUUGAGGACCAACUGAACUCCACUACAACAGAGCUUUUCCUGAGCUCAGGAUGGGAGCGAUUUCUCCUUCC
rnacentral:lncRNA from 1 species